CCUACGGGAGGCAGCAGUGGGGAAUAUUGCACAAUGGGGGAAACCCUGAUGCAGCGACGCCGCGUGAGUGAAGAAGUAUCUCGGUAUGUAAAGCUCUAUCAGCAGGGAAGUAGAAAGACGGUACCUGACUAAGAAGCCCCGGCUAACUACGUGCCAGCAGCCGCGGUAAUACGUAGGGGGCAAGCGUUAUCCGGAUUUACUGGGUGUAAAGGGAGCGUAGACGGUUGUGCAAGGCUGAAGUGAAAGCCCAGGGCUCAACCCUGGGACUGCUUUGGAAACUGUGAAGCUAGAGUGCUGGAGAGGUAAGUGGAAUUCCUAGUGUAGCGGUGAAAUGCGUAGAUAUUAGGAGGAACACCAGUGGCGAAGGCGGCUUGCUGGACAGUAACUGACGUUGAGGCUCGAAAGCGUGGGGAGCAAACAGGAUUAGAUACCCGAGUAGUC
rnacentral:rRNA from 1 species